rnacentral:rRNA from 1 species
UACGUACGAGGCGAGCGUUAUCCGGAAUUAUUGGGCGUAAAGCGCGCGCAGGCGGGCCGUUAAGUUGGCUGUGAAAUCUCCCGGCCCAACUGGGAGGGGUCAGCCAAUACUGGCGGUCUUGAGGAUGGCAGAGGUAGGUGGAAUUCCUGGUGUAGUGGUGAAAUGCGUAGAGAUCAGGAGGAACACCGGUGGCGAAGGCGGCCUACUGGGCCAUCACUGACGCUGAGGCGCGAAAGCUCGGGGAGCGAACGGG